CGGCCACAUCACAUCACGUUGAAACACCGGUUCCCAUACGAUCACCGAAGUUAAGCAACGUCGAGCUUGACCAGUAUCUAGAUGGGUGAUCGCUUGGAAAUACCAGGUACCGUAAG